CUACGGGGGGCACCAGUGAGGAAUAUUGCACAAUGGGGGGAACCCUGACGCAGCAACGCCGCGUGGAGGAUGACGCAUUUCGGUGUGUAAACUCCUUUUAUAUGUCAAGAAAAUGACGGUAGCAUAUGUAUAAGCACCGGCUGAACUCCGUGCCAGCAGCCGCGGUAAUACGGAGGGUGCAAGCGUUACUCGGAAUCACUGGGCGUAAAGGACGCGUAGGCGGGUUGGAAAGUCAGGUGUGAAAUCCUACAGCUUAACUGUAGAACUGCACUUGAAACUUCUAAUCUAGAGUAUGGGAGGGGGAGAUGGAAUUAGUGGUGUAGGGGUAAAAUCCGUAGAUAUCACUAGGAAUACCUAAAGCGAAGGCGAUCUCCUGGAACAUUACUGACGCUAAGGCGUGAAAGCGUGGGGAGCAAACAGGAUUAGAUACCCGGGUAGUC
rnacentral:rRNA from 1 species